UGGGGAAUAUUGCACAAUGGGCGCACGCCUGAUGCAGCCAUGCCGCGUGUAUGAAGAAGGCCUUCGGGUUGUAAAGUUCUUUCAGUCGGGAGGAAGGUGGUAAGGUUAAUAACCUUGGCCAUUGACGGUACCGACAGAAGAAGCACCGGCUAUCUCCGUGCCAGCAGCCGCGGUAAUUCGGAGGGUGCAAGCGUUAAUCGGAUUUACUGGGUGUAACGCGCACGCAGGCGGUGGGUUGAGUCAGAUGUGGAAUCCCCGGGCUUAACCCGGGAAUUGCAUAUUAUACUGGUCAGCUAGAGUCUUGUAGAGGGGGGUAGAAUUCCUUGUGUGGCGGUGAAAAACGUAGAGAUGUGGAGGAAAACCGGUGGCGAAAACGGCACCCUGGACAAAGACUGACGAUCAGAUGCGAAAGCGUGGGGAGCAAACAGG
rnacentral:rRNA from 1 species